rnacentral:rRNA from 1 species
CUGGGCUCGAACGGCUGGUUAACGGCAUUGGAAACAGUGCUACUCCGCAAGGAGGUCCAGUCGAGGUGCUGCAUGGCUGUCGUCAGCUCGUGUCGUGAGAUGUUGGGUUAAGUCCCGCAACGAGCGCAACCCUUGUCCUGUGUUGCCAUUCCGUAAGGAGGGACUCGCAGGAGACCGCCAGCGAUAAGUUGGAGGAAGGUGGGGAUGACGUCAAGUCCUCAUGGCCUUUAUGUCCAGGGCUACACACGUGCUACAAUGGCCGGUACAAUGCGCAGCUAAGCCGCGAGGUGGAGCCAAUCGCAAAAAACCGGUCUCAGUUCGGAUUGCAGGCUGCAACCCGCCUGCAUGAAGCUGGAAUCGCUAGUAAUGCCGUAUCAGAACGAUGGCGUGAAUACGUUCCC